UUGGAUGUCUUCAGAAAUAAACAGGAUUUCUGUUUUUUGUCUUCUUGAUAUGGGGUUUACAUUUAGAGGGGGAAAAUAUCCCCUCCUAGUUUAAGGAAACAAAUGAAGUCUUUCUGGUUUGAAUAUUUAUUUUAAUGAGCAGAAAGCCCAUUUGGAUGAAAAAGGUGAAGAAAAAGCAAGUUUACACUGCCCUGAUGUGGCUCUGUGAUCACGUCUGUCUCCUCCAGCACUAAUUUUCUUUGAUUCUAACUCAUCUGUAUGACCAGACAUCUUCGAAUCAUUUAUCUAUGACCAGUCAUCUUUGGAAAUACUAGGUGAACUGUCGGCUUUCCAUCAGUCUGCAUCCUUAGGCAUGCUAUAGAGCAAAACCUCCUUACUGAGAAGAUGCCUUAAACAUCUGGAAACAGUAACAAGAAGCACAGACCUUGAAUAUUUCCGUGAAAUUCUACCGUGAUAGGGAAAUAGAUGCUUUCCCAUCAGACACACAUUUCCAGAAAAGUGAUAAUGUGAUUUUCAUACUUACAAUUUGAGAUCUGGUUAUUCUGAUGUGAAGACCACUAUGGACUUUGGACUCUUUCUGGAAUUAUUUGUGGGAGUGAAAUUGAAGUGGUGCAAGUGUUAGGAAAUUUUUCUCAUCAAGAAGGAAGGUGACGAAGAUACCUCUCCCAACCCUACCUGUUAACAUUAUCACCUUCCGCGGGGUUAGGAUUUCAAAAUGAAUGUGGGGAAAACACAUUUAUGUCAUAGCGCCCAGGAAGGUGGCCUGGAAUCACUUUGGAAGACUUGGGAUAACUUCAUCGAUUCUCAUGGCUUCAGUCCUUUAGAUCCUGGUGCACCCAAGUAAUCACAGUGCAGAAGAGUUUCAGGAAUUUGGACCUGGGAUUGGUUGGCUCUGUUUUGCAGCACACAGGUUCUGAUUUGUAAUAGGGAUCUUGGAAAAUAUUCAGACAUCUGUUGGAAGGGAAGAACUGAGCCAGGAUAACUGCUGGAAAGCAAUUGACUUUUUGACAACAAAGACUGGUUGUCUUUGCCUCCACAUAUGCAACCCUGUGAAAAACGCAGAGAGAGGAAUAAUGAAUGGUAUCUGAACAUUAUUUGAGCACCCCAGCAAUCAAUAAAGUGGAUGCGGUUUUAAAAAAGAAAGAGAAGACAAGAAAAAGAAACUCGAAAUGAAGAAAUCAAAGGUGCAGCUUUCUGAACUAGCCCAUAAGAGUUGGAACUGCACCUUCACACUCAACCCAGUUGUGUGUCACAUGUGUACCCUUGGCUGUGGGUGACAAGUGAGGUGCUGAUGAGAUGAUAGUGAACAGACAUCAUGAAGAUUUUACAGUCAGCUGGGGGAUGGGAACAAGCACAGAGUUACAGCUGAAAUUGAUGCACAUGGAAGAACUGAUAGACUAUUGCUUCUGUGAAAAUGACUAUUUUCAAUCACUUGUUUUACAAAUACUACUAAUUUGAGCCCUACGGGUUUUGCAAAAAUGCAAUAAGUCUUACUACAAUUUAAUUUUAUGUUGCAGGAAAUAUUUUGUAAUCCAAAGUCAUAUAUUCUAAUUACAGGAAGUCAUAAAUAAGCAAAAUAAAACUGUGCACGAGUAUUUAUAAUGUGCCUAAUAAAUAUCAAGUAUUGUUCUGUGUAUUACCAUUAAAUUUCUUGUCCUCUCUGUGCCAGACAAUGAGAAUUGGUUAUCCCCAAAUAUAUGUAAAAUGACAUUUUGAUUGAAAGUCAAUAUUAAUAAUCACAUCAUUUUUUUAACAGUGAUGAUUUUGGGGGCAAGUAAAGGUCAUCUGAAACUCUUCAUGGAUCAUACACAUCACCCAUUCUUUCAUAAUUAUAUCUUAUUUUUUCUCUUAAUUUCCCCUAAUAUUCAGGUAAUUUUUCUGCUUCAUCAUCUUAGCAAUUGUAAAAUAUUAACAUCUUUAAUGGGAUUAAUUCCACCAGAUGAAACAAUUUAUUGCUGUGACUUUGAGGAGAAGCUGAAAAGUUGGGCGAGUUUCCUCAGCUAUUUCAGAGACAUAUUUAAGCAGCUGAUCUGAAGAUGAACUUCUGGCACUUGAGUCACACUACUGUGAUCUGUAUUUCAGUGACCAUUGUUCUAUGAAUUGGCACAUUCCUGAUGACUAAAAAAAUUGAAUAACAGGUUCAAUAAACUGUACUUUUUAUUAGCUUUAAUUGUAUGAACUGUCAGUAUCAACAUUUGACUCCCAUCUUUUAAUUUUAGGUGACUUAAGGAUACAUGAUCGUUGGCCAGAAAAACCAUAUUCACGUCUAACCCAUUACCACUGUCUUAGUAGAGAAAAUGAGUUAUUA